rnacentral:lncRNA from 1 species
UAGAGGUUUAGGAGAGAUGGUAGAGGUUUAGGAGAGAUGGAAGAGGUUUAGGAGAGAUGGUAGAGAUUUAGGAGAGAUGGUAGAGGUUUAGGAGAGAUGGUAGAGGUUUGGUUAGGAGAGAUGUUAGAGGUUUAGGAGAGAUGGUAGAGGUUUUGGGAGAGAUGGUAGAGGUUUGGGUAGGAGAGAUGGUAGAGGUUUAGGAGAGAUGGUAGAGGUUUAGGAGAGAUGGUAGAGGUUUAGGAGAGAUGGUAGAGGUUUAGGAGAGAUGGAAGAGGUUUAGGAGAGAUGGUAGAGGUUUAGGAGAGAUGGUAGAGGUUUGGGUAGGAGAGAUGUUAGAGGUUUGGGUAGGAGAGAUGGUAGAGGUUUGGGUAGGAGAGAUGUUAGAGGUUUGGGUAG